UCCUGACCCCAUGAUCCACCCGCCUUGGCGUCCCAAAGUGCUGGGAUUACAGGCGUGAGCCAUGGUGCCUGGCCCUUUAAUUCCCCCAAUAUUUUUUUAUCUGCAUUAAUUUAUUAUUUCAAGUGAACUUCCAUCUCAAAUACAUGGUUCUCAGACGCUUCCAUGAACUCUCAAGUGUGACUUAUUACAGCCUGGGGCUCCUUGGAGCACAGUGUGCCAGUGACCUAGUGGAAGGCCAUGAGAAAGCCAGGUUCACUGUUCACUGUGCAGCAUCUCCCUCCAUGGUCUUCCUGGAGCCUAUUCCCACUGCACUGAGCAUUCCGUGUGUCCAGAGGUAGGGUUAGCAGGGAUAGAUGGACUUCCUGCUUAUUUUCUGUUCACAUUUCCACUGACCUUCAAUCCUGUAGACUGCAAAGAUUGAGCCAGCUGAGCCCCCAAAGAGACUCAGCAGUGCAGAAUGUGGGCCUGAGUGGGAGGACUGCCCAGCCGCACACCUUCCAGCUCUGUUCUUCCCGGGCCCUGGAUGCUUCUUGCCACGCUGUCCUCUGAAAUGACGCUCUGCCCCAGCAGACCUGUGCGGGCCCAGCACAGGGAUCACAUUGUCGGGGUGACCUGGAUCCUACUUGAAGCCUUUGAGCUGGACUGUGGCUUUAUCCCUGAGGCCAGGCUUCAUGUCCAGAUGGCCAUGCCAGAGGUUGACGUGGCAGAGAAGGAGUGUGACACAGGCCAGUGGAGCGAGUGGAGCCAGCCUGUGUGCUUCCAGGCUCCCCAGAGACAAGGACCCACCCGAGGAUGGGUCACCAUGGCUUUGGAGCACCUGGUAGUGUGGCAUGUCCACAGUGAAGACCAGAGUUUCGUUGUCCUUAAGACUGACCUGGGAGACGUGGCUGGAGGCCAUUGAGGAAGACGGCACCGAAAGCGAAGGAAGCUCCUGCUCCUCCUAAAGCCGAAGCCAAAGCGAAGGCUUUAAAGGCCAAGAAGGCAGUGUUGAAAGGUGUCCGCAGCCACACGCAAAAAAGAAGAUCCGCAUGUCACUCACCUUCAGGCGGCCCAAGACACUGCGACUCCGGAGGCAGCCCAGAUAUCCUCGGAAGAGCACCCCCAGGAGAAACAAGCUUGGCCACUAUGCUAUCAUCAAGUUUCCGCUGACCACUGAGUCGGCCGUGAAGAAGAUAGAAGAAAACAACACGCUUGUGUUCACUGUGGAUGUUAAAGCCAACAAGCACCAGAUCAGACAGGCUGUGAAGAAGCUCUAUGACAGUGAUGUGGCCAAGGUCACCACCCUGAUUUGUCCUGAUAAAGAGAAGAAGGCAUAUGUUCGACUUGCUCCUGAUUAUGAUGCUUUCGAUGUUGUAACAAAAUUGGGAUCACCUAAACUGAGUCCAGCUGGCUAACUCUAAAUAUAUGUGUAUCUUUUCAGCAUAAAAAAAUAAUGUUUUUCAUAAGAAUGACAACUUAAUUAGAAUCAAAUCUAUAAGCUUUAAGAUUUUACGUUUCUAGUAAGUAUAAUAUUAGCUUAUUUGACUAGAACUCAAGCAGAAUAGGAAUUUAUGCUUGUUUUAUAUUCAAUAAUGAUAAUUUUGAAGAUAUAGUUGUUUUAUUACACCAAAAAUACUAUAUUAAUCUUAUUUAACUAAGUUUUAUCCAAAUCAUGUUAACUUAAGAAACAUUUGAUCAGUUCCUAUAUUUCUAGGAGUUUGGUGAAUAUUUAUUUAUAAAUGCUUAUUUUUUUCCAAGCCAAGUUAGAAUAGAGCACUUUUAGAGGAUUUCAUAAAUGAAUUUUGUAAUGCUCUCUGGAGUUAAGAAAAUAUCACAUAUACAUAACAUACAUUAAUAGAUACACAAACACAAAUAGAGAUUUCAUAGCUUUCAUCCUGAAAUUUCAGCCAUGAAUCAGGCAUAAAUAUUCUGAUGGUUAAUUUCAGACAUCUACUUGAUCGGAUUGAGAGACACACAUAGCUGGUCAAACACGAUUUCAGCCAUGAAUCAGGCAUAAAUAUUCUGAUGGUUAAUUUUAGACAUCUACUUGAGUGGAUUAAGAGACACACAUAGCUGGUCAAACAUGAUUUCAGCCAUGAAUCAGCCAUAAAUAUUCUGAUGGUUAAUUUUAGACAUCUACUUGAGUGGAUUAAGAGACACACAUAGCUGGUCAAACACAAUUUCAGCCAUGAAUCAGGCAUAAAUAUUCUGACGGUUAAUUUUAGACAUCUACUUGAUCGGAUUGAGAGACACACAUAGCUGGUCAAACACGAUUUCAGCCAUGAAUCAGGCAUAAAUAUUCUGACGGUUAAUUUUAGACAUCUACUUGAGUGGAUUGAGAGACACACAUAGCUGGUCAAACACAAUUUCAGCCAUGAAUCAGGCAUAAAUAUUCUGACGGUUAAUUUUAGACAUCUACUUGAGUGGAUUGAGAGACACACAUAGCUGGUCAAACACGAUUUCAGCCAUGAAUCAGGCAUAAAUAUUCUGACGGUUAAUUUUAGACAUCUACUUGACUGGAUUAAGAGACACACAUAGCUGGUGAAACACGAUUUCAGCCAUGAAUCAGGCAUAAAUAUUCUGACGGUUAACUUUAGACAUCUACUUGACUGGAUUAAGAGACACACAUAGCUGGUCAAACACGAUUUCAGCCAUGAAUCAGGCAUAAAUAUUCUGACGGUUAACUUUAGACAUCUACUUGAUUGGAUUGAGAGACACACAUAGCUGGUCAAACACAAUUUCAGCCAUGAAUCAGGCAUAAAUAUUCUGACGGUUAAUUUUAGACAUCUACUUGACUGGAUUAAGGGACACACACAGCUGGUCAAACAAUUUCAGCCAUGAAUCAGGCAUAAAUAUUCUGACAGUUAAUUUUAGACAUCUACUUGAGUGGAUUAAGAGACACACAUAGCUGGUCAAACACGAUUUCUGGGCAUAUCUAUGAGGGUGUUUCUGGAAGACACUGAGAUAACCAUGACCCAAUGUGGAUGGGCACUGAUAUGGUUUGGCUGUGUCCCCACCCAGAUCUCAUCUUGAAUUGUAGUUCCUGUAAUACCUACAUGUCGUGGGAGGGACCCAGUGGGAGGUGACUGAAUCAUGGUGGUGGUUACCGCCAUGCUGUUCUCAUGACAGUGAGUGAGUUCUCAUGAUCUGAUGGUUUUAUAAGGGGCUUUUCCCCUUUGGGUCAGCACUUCUUGUUGCUGCCAUGUGAAGAGGGAUAGCUUUGCUUCCCCUUCUGCCAUGAUUGUGAGGCCCCUGCAGCCAUGUGGAACUGUCAGCC
rnacentral:lncRNA from 1 species